rnacentral:rRNA from 1 species
UGAGACACGGUCCAGACUCCUACGGGAGGCAGCAGUGGGGAAUAUUGCACAAUGGGCGCAAGCCUGAUGCAGCCAUGCCGCGUGUGUGAAGAAGGCCUUCGGGUUGUAAAGCACUUUCAGUCGUGAGGAAGGUAGUGUAGUUAAUAGCUGCAUUAUUUGACGUUAGCGACAGAAGAAGCACCGGCUAACUCCGUGCCAGCAGCCGCGGUAAUACGGAGGGUGCGAGCGUUAAUCGGAAUUACUGGGCGUAAAGCGCAUGCAGGUGGUUUGUUAAGUCAGAUGUGAAAGCCCGGGGCUCAACCUCGGAAUAGCAUUUGAAACUGGCAGACUAGAGUACUGUAGAGGGGGGUAGAAUUUCAGGUGUAGCGGUGAAAUGCGUAGAGAUCUGAAGGAAUACCGGUGGCGAAGGCGGCCCCCUGGACAGAUACUGACACUCAGAUGCGAAAGCGUGGGGAGCAAACAGGAUUAGAUACCCUGGUAGUCCACGCCGUAAACGA